rnacentral:rRNA from 1 species
GUGGCGAACGAAAAGGAAUGAGCCCAGCGCAGAACGUUCCGGGGCACUCGCCCUGAGAAUGAAUGUUGCGUUAAGGAUAUUGGCAUACACCCAUGGCAGUUACACUUUGCUAAGUCAGCCUCGAAUGGUUCUCGUGAAGCCGGUAACACGGUGAGACUCCAGGGAGGGUGUUAGACCCGUGUGAAGGUGCAAUCUGCUUGGGCAAGCCGAUAUCCCGAGAGUCGCGUUGUUUGAACAUGCAGCGCUAAGCAGGUCGUAGACUCGAUCUAAGGCUAAAUAUGUCCACAGAACCGAUAGUUAACAAGUACCGUGAGGGAAAGUUGAAAAGCACUCCGUAACGGAGAGUCAAAAGACCGUGAAACCACUCAGAGUAUAAGCCAAUGGUGUCUGGAAGGUCCUGUGCUUACAUCUUGGUGUCAAGGACUCAUGCGAACCUCAGCACUUGCGGGAGCAAUCUCCGUUGCUUUGGUAAGCUUGUCCGCUGAAGCACUCCGUUGACCCACCUGGCUCGUUGUGAGGUGUCCUGAGAGCAAAGCGAAGUGUUAAGAUUGGCUUGGAGUUGGGCGUGGGCGUCUCGAUGCCUUUCGCACUCUCCUUUUCGAGCACUUCUUCAGUUCUAUUCGCACAAAGUGUGGUAGUCUUGGAGUGUGCGCUGCUUGACGCUCUCUGGAACCAUCCUCUGCGACGAAGCUUCAAUGCCUUAGUGAGCGGCCGUCUUCCUCCUCGGGAGUCGGUACAUUGGCGCGGCUUGCACACUGUCGGUGCUCCGCUGUUCAACUCUGGCGCAAGGUGUUACGUCCGAUACCAUUGGUCACGUCUCGAAACACGGGCCAAGGAGUAUAGCGUGUGUGCAAGUCUAAGGGUUCCACAAAACCUGGAGGCGUAGUGAAAGCGAGUUAUGGUGUCUCACUGGACUGAUGGAGAAGGCAGUGAUGCGUGAUCCCGCAAGUCCCGGACUCGUCGUCUGCACUGCUUCGGUUGUGUUAGCGCGAGCACCGCAGAGCACAUACGCUAUGACCCGAAAGAUAGUGAACUAUGCUUGGCGAGGGUGAAGCCCCAGGAAACUGGGGUGGAGGCCCGUAGCCGUUGUGACGUGCAAAUCC